UGCGUCGGCCUCGUGGAUGGACCAUGAGCUCGACAUUCCUUAAGGUCGUUCUUUCCGACCCAUACAAGGUUCCGCUGCCUGCAUUGUUCCAAGAGUGUCUUGGACAAAAGCAGGAAGUGGAACCUUGUUAAGGUCGGAACGAACUGCCUUAAGGAAGUCGAUGCUCCAGGUCCGUCCACGAGGACGACGCA
rfam:Oryza rufipogon genomic scaffold, chr10